rnacentral:tRNA from 1 species
UAGGCUGGAGCUUGUUUAGUUGAGCGCUUGGUUGUUAAUUAAGAGGUUGUGGGGUAAAAGCCCACCAGUCUAG